rnacentral:rRNA from 1 species
AGCGAACGCUGGCGGCAGGCCUAACACAUGCAAGUCGAACGAAGUCUUCGGACUUAGUGGCGGACGGGUGAGUAACACGUGGGAACGUACCUUUUGGUUCGGAACAACUCAGGGAAACUUGAGCUAAUACCGGAUGAGCCCUUAGGGGGAAAGAUUUAUCGCCGAAAGAGCGGCCCGCGUUAGAUUAGCUAGUUGGUGAGGUAAAGGCUCACCAAGGCUACGAUCUAUAGCUGGUCUGAGAGGAUGAUCAGCCACACUGGGACUGGGACACGGCAUAGAAUCAUACGGGAGGCAGCAGUGGGGAAUCUUGCGCAAUGGGCGAAAGCCUGACGCAGCCAGGCCGCGUGAAUGAUGAAGGUAUUAGGAUUGUAAAAUUCUUUCACCGGGGAUGAUAAUGACGGUACCCGGAGAAGAAGCCCCGGCUAACUUCGUGCCAGCCGCCGCCGUAA